rnacentral:rRNA from 1 species
UUCAUUGGGUUUAAAGGGUGCGCAGGCGGAUUGGUAAGUCAGGGGUGAAAUCCCACAGCUCAACUGUGGAACUGCCUUUGAUACUGUCAGUCUAGAGUAUAGUUGAAGUUGGCGGAAUGUGUCAUGUAGCGGUGAAAUGCUUAGAUAUGACACAGAACACCGAUCGCGAAGGCAGCUAGCUAAGCUAUAACUGACGCUCAUGCACGAAAGCGUGGGGAUCAAACAGGAUUAGAUACCCUGGUAGUCCACGCUGUAAACGAUGAUUACUCGAUGUUGGCGAUACACAGUCAGCGUCUGAGCGAAAGCAAUAAGUAAUCCACCUGGGGAGUACGAUCGCAAGAUUGAAACUCAAAGGAAUUGACGGGGGCCCGCACAAGCGGAGGAGCAUGUGGUUUAAUUCGAUGAUACGCGAGGAACCUUACCUGGGCUCGAACGUAAGAUGACUGUAGGUGAAAGCUUACAUCUCUUCGGAGCAUUUUACGAGGUGCUGCAUGGUUGUCGUCAGCUCGUGCCGUGAGGUGUCGGGUUAAGUCCCAUAACGAGCGCAACCCCUACCUUUAGUUGCCAUCAGGUCAUGCUGGGGACUCUAAAGGAACUGCCUACGCAAGUAGUGAGGAAGGCGGGGAUGACGUCAAAUCAGCACGGCCCUUACGUCCAGGGCUACACACGUGCUACAAUGGCCGAUACAGAGGGCAGCUACCUGGUGACAGGAUGCAAAUCUCCAAAGUCGGUCUCAGUUCGGAUCGGAGUCUGCAACCCGACUCCGUGAAGUUGGAUUCGCUAGUAAUCGCGCAUCAGCCAUGGCGCGGUGAAUACGUUCCCGGGCCUUGUACACGCCGCCCGUCAAGCCAUGGAAGCUGGGGGGACCUAAAGUCGAUAACCGCAAGGAGUCGCCUAGGGUAAAACCAGUGACUGGGGCUAAGUCGUAACAAGGUAGCCG